CCUACGGGUGGCAGCAGUGAGGAAUAUUGGUCAAUGGGCGUAAGCCUGAACCAGCCAAGUCGCGUGAGGGAUGAAGGUUCUAUGGAUCGUAAACCUCUUUUUUAAGGGAAUAAAGUGUGGGACGUGUCCUGUUUUGUACGUACCUUAUGAAUAAGGAUCGGCUAACUCCGUGCCAGCAGCGGCGGUAAUACGGAGGAUCCGAGCGUUAUCCGGAUUUAUGGGGUUUAAAGGGUGCGUAGGCGGCCUUUUAAGUCAGCGGGGAAAGUCUGUGGCUCAACCAUAGUAUUGCCGUUGAAACUGGGAGGCUUGAGUAUGUUUGAGGCAGGCGGAAUGCGUGGGGUAGCGGUGAAAUGCUUAGAUAUCACGCGGAACCCCGAUUGCGAAGGCAGCCUGCCAGGCCAUGACUGACGCUGAGGCACGAAAGCGUGGGGAUCAAACAGGAUUAGAUACCCCGGUAGUC
rnacentral:rRNA from 1 species